rnacentral:rRNA from 1 species
CAUAUCAAUAAGCGGAGGAAAAGAAACUAACAAGGAUUCCCCUAGUAACUGCGAGUGAAGCGGGAAAAGCUCAAAUUUAAAAUCUGGCAGUCUUUGGCUGUCCGAGUUGUAAUCUAGAGAAGUGUUGUCUGCGCUGGACCGUGUACAAGUCUCCUGGAAUGGAGCGUCAUAGAGGGUGAGAAUCCCGUCUUUGACACGGACUACCAGGGCUUUUUGAUACGCUCUCAAAGAGUCGAGUUGUUUGGGAAUGCAGCUCAAAAUGGGUGGUAAAUUCCAUCUAAAGCUAAAUAUUGGCGAGAGACCGAUAGCGAACAAGUACCGUGAGGGAAAGAUGAAAAGAACUUUGGAAAGAGAGUUAAACAGUACGUGAAAUUGCUGAAAGGGAAACGCUUGAAGUCAGUCGCGUUGUCCAGGGAUCAACCUUGCUUUUGCUUGGUGCACUUUCUGGUUGACGGGUCAGCAUCAAUUUUGACUAUUGGAAAAAGAUUAAGGGAAUGUGGCAUCUUUGGAUGUGUUAUAGCCCUUGGUUGCAUACAAUGGUUGGGAUUGAGGAACUCAGCACGCCGCAAGGCCGGGUUUUUAACCACGUAACGUGCUUAGGAUGCUGGCAUAAUGGCUUCAAUCGACCCGUCUUGAAACACGGACCAAGGAGUCUAACAUGCCUGCGAGUGUUUGGGUGGAAAACUCGAGCGCGCAAUGAAAGUGAAAGUUGAGAUCCCUGUCGUGGGGAGCAUCGACGCCCAGACCAGACCUUUUGUGACGGAUCUGCGGUAGAGCAUGUAUGUUGGGACCCGAAAGAUGGUGAACUAUGCCUGAAUAGGGUGAAGCCAGAGGAAACUCUGGUGGAGGCUCGUAGCGAUUCUGACGUGCAAAUCGAUCGUCAAAUUUGGGUAUAGGGGCGAAAGACUAAUCGAACCAUCUAGUAGCUGGUUCCUGCC